GAUGAACGCUGGCGGCGUGCCUAAUACAUGCAAGUCGAACGAAACUUCUUUAUCACCGAGUGCUUGCACUCACCGAUAAAGAGUUGAGUGGCGAACGGGUGAGUAACACGUGGGCAACCUGCCCAAAAGAGGGGGAUAACACUUGGAAACAGGUGCUAAUACCGCAUAACCAUAGUUACCGCAUGGUAACUAUGUAAAAGGUGGCUAUACUACCGCUUUUGGAUGGGCCCGCGGCGCAUUAGCUAGUUGGUAGGGUAAAGGCUUACCAAGGCAAUGAUGCGUAGCCGAAUUGAGAGGUUGAUCGGCCACAUUGGGACUGAGACACGGCCCAAACUCCUACGGGAGGCAGCAGUAGGGAAUCUUCCACAAUGGGCGAAAGCCUGAUGAAGCAACGCCGCGUGGGUGAAGAAGGUCUUCGGAUCGUAAAACCCUGUUGUUAGAGAAGAAAGUGCGUGAGAGUAACUGUUCACGUUUCGACGGUAUCUAACCAGAAAGCCACGGCUAACUACGUG
rnacentral:rRNA from 1 species